rnacentral:rRNA from 1 species
UGGGGAAUAUUGCACAAUGGGCGAAAGCCUGAUGCAGCAACGCCGCGUGAGUGAUGAAGGCCUUCGGGUUGUAAAGCUCUGUCUUUUGGGACGAUAAUGACGGUACCAAAGGAGGAAGCCACGGCUAACUACGUGCCAGCAGCCGCGGUAAUACGUAGGUGGCAAGCGUUGUCCGGAUUUACUGGGCGUAAAGGAUGCGUAGGCGGAUUUUUAAGUGAGAUGUGAAAUACCCGGGCUUAACUUGGGUGCUGCAUUUCAAACUGGGAAUCUAGAGUGCGGGAGAGGAGAAUGGAAUUCCUAGUGUAGCGGUGAAAUGCGUAGAGAUUAGGAAGAACACCAGUGGCGAAGGCGAUUCUCUGGACCGUAACUGACGCUGAGGCAUGAAAGCGUGGGUAGCAAACAGGAUUAGAUACCCUGGUAGUCCACGCCGUAAACGAUGAGUACUAGGUGUAGGAGGUAUCGACCCCUUCUGUGCCGCAGUUAACACAAUAAGUACUCCGCCUGGGAAGUACGAUCGCAGGAUUAAAACUCAAAUGAAUUGACGGGGUCAUAGCUGUUUUCCU